rnacentral:rRNA from 1 species
CAAUUUAAACAACGAAGAGUUUGAUCCUGGCUCAGGAUGAACGCUAGCGACAGGCUUAACACAUGCAAGUCGAGGGGCAGCACAGGUAGCAAUACCGGGUGGCGACCGGCGCACGGGUGAGUAACGCGUAUGCAACUUGCCUAUCAGAGGGGGAUAACCCGGCGAAAGUCGGACUAAUACCGCAUGAAGCAGGGAUCCCGCAUGGGAAUAUUUGCUAAAGAUUCAUCGCUGAUAGAUAGGCAUGCGUUCCAUUAGGCAGUUGGCGGGGUAACGGCCCACCAAACCGACGAUGGAUAGGGGUUCUGAGAGGAAGGUCCCCCACAUUGGUACUGAGACACGGACCAAACUCCUACGGGAGGCAGCAGUGAGGAAUAUUGGUCAAUGGCCGAGAGGCUGAACCAGCCAAGUCGCGUGAGGGAUGAAGGUUCUAUGGAUCGUAAACCUCUUUUAUAAGGGAAUAAAGUGCGGGACGUGUCCCGUUUUGUAUGUACCUUAUGAAUAAGGAUCGGCUAACUCCGUGCCAGCAGCCGCGGUAAUACGGAGGAUCCGAGCGUUAUCCGGAUUUAUUGGGUUUAAAGGGUGCGUAGGCGGCCUUUUAAGUCAGCGGUGAAAGUCUGUGGCUCAACCAUAGAAUUGCCGUUGAAACUGGGGGGCUUGAGUAUGUUUGAGGCAGGCGGAAUGCGUGGUGUAGCGGUGAAAUGCAUAGAUAUCACGCAGAACCCCGAUUGCGAAGGCAGCCUGCCAAGCCAUUACUGACGCUGAUGCACGAAAGCGUGGGGAUCAAACAGGAUUAGAUACCCUGGUAGUCCACGCAGUAAACGAUGAUCACUAGCUGUUUGCGAUACAUUGUAAGCGGCACAGCGAAAGCGUUAAGUGAUCCACCUGGGGAGUACGCCGGCAACGGUGAAACUCAAAGGAAUUGACGGGGGCCCGCACAAGCGGAGGAACAUGUGGUUUAAUUCGAUGAUACGCGAGGAACCUUACCCGGGUUUGAACGCAUUCGGACCGAGGUGGAAACACCUUUUCUAGCAAUAGCCGUUUGCGAGGUGCUGCAUGGUUGUCGUCAGCUCGUGCCGUGAGGUGUCGGCUUAAGUGCCAUAACGAGCGCAACCCUUGCCACUAGUUACUAACAGGUGAUGCUGAGGACUCUGGUGGGACUGCCAGCGUAAGCUGCGAGGAAGGCGGGGAUGACGUCAAAUCAGCACGGCCCUUACAUCCGGGGCGACACACGUGUUACAAUGGCGUGGACAAAGGGAGGCCACCUGGCGACAGGGAGCGAAUCCCCAAACCACGUCUCAGUUCGGAUCGGAGUCUGCAACCCGACUCCGUGAAGCUGGAUUCGCUAGUAAUCGCGCAUCAGCCAUGGCGCGGUGAAUACGUUCCCGGGCCUUGUACACACCGCCCGUCAAGCCAUGGGAGCCGGGGGUACCUGAAGUCCGUAACCGCGAGGAUCGGCCUAGGGUAAAACUGGUGACUGGGGCUAAGUCGUAACAAGGUAGCCGUACCGGAAGGUGCGGCUGGAACACCUCCUUUCU